UUUUAGAUAUUACUAUAAAAUGUUGCUGAUGCUGAUUAAGGAUUUUGUUUAUUUUUAGCCAUGACUAUGAUGUCAUUUUCUAUUUUAAUACCUUUAUGAUGUAAUUUCCAUUUUUAGAUAUUACUGUUAAAUGAUGCUGAUUAAGGGUUUUUUGCUAUGUUUAGCCAUGACUAUGAUGUCAUUUUCUAUUUUAAUAUCUUUAUGAUGUAUUUAAAUGGGCUUUUAUGGUUACAAAGGAAUUUUAUUUUUAUACGACCGCAAAAAAAUUUUUGUGGUCGUAUAUUGGUAUGACGUUGGCGUCGUCGUCGUCGUCGUCGUCCGAAUACACAUUAGUUUUCGCACUCUAACUUUAGUUUAAGUGAAUGGAUCUCAUUGAAAUUUUACCAUAAGGUUCAAUACCACAAAAGGAAGGUGGGGAUUGAUUUUGGGGGUUAUGGUACUAACAGUUAAGGAAUUAGGGGCCAAAAGGGGCCAAAAAUAAGCAUUUUUGUAACUUCCAGACAUAACUUGUGUGUAAGUGUAUGGAUCUCUCUGAUAUUGUACCACAAGGUUCCAUAUCACAAAGGGAAUGCUGGGAUUGAUUUUGGGGGUAAUUGUCUCCAAAUUUUAGGAAUUAGGGGCCAAAAAGGGGCAAAAAACAAGCAUUUUUCUAGUUUCAUGACAAUAACUUGUUUGUAAGUGUAUGGAUCUUUAUGAAAUUGUACUACAAGGUUCCAUAUCACAAAGGGAAGGCUGGGAUUGAUUUUGGGGGUUUUCCCUCAAAAUUUUAGUAAUUAGGGGCCAUAAAAGGGCAAAAAAAACAUGCAUUUUUCUAGUUUCAGGACAAUAACUUGUGUGUAAGUGUAUGGAUCUUUAUGAAAUUGUACUGCAAGGUUCCAUAUCACAAAGAGAAAGCUGGAAUUGAGUUUGGGGGUAAUUGCCCUAAACGUUUAGGGAUUUGGGGCCAAAAAACAAGCAUUUUUCUAAUUUCCAGACAAUAACUUGUGUUCAAGUGUAUGAAUCUCUCUGAAAUUGUACUGCAAGGUACCAUACCACAAAGGGAAAGCUGGGAUUGAGUUUGGGGGCGAUGAAUCAUAAGGGGGUUCAAAAAAUUGGGGGGGGGGGGAUUUUUUUUUUCCUUUUUUUUCUUUAACAUUUUCCAUUUUAAAUUGGUUAUUUCUGAUUAUAUAUAAAAGCAAAUAAUAAUGAUAUGGUUUGAAUAGGCAUACAUGUGAACCUCCCGACGGGAGUACAAUAAUCCCGUUUUCAGGGGUCUCCUCCCCCCCUCUCGUUGAAAAAAUCCCGUGUAUGAAAUUUUUCAUGAAUGAAAAAUUUCUGCCCAACAUAACAUCUCAGGCAUCUGGUGUAACUGACAUUACCUGAAGUUAUAUUUUACCUGUAAAUCAAUUAACAUGCAUAAUUAUAUGGCUUCACUUGUCAGCUUGGGUGUCAAACAUACUGGUAAGCAACGAUUUUUACCUCAGGCUAACUGCCGUUGUGUAACAAAAACUGUGUAUUUAUUGGGUUACUUCCCUUGAUUUAUCCUGUUUUAAGUUACUUUCCUUUUAAUAAUGAAAAUUUUUAAAAGAAUAUAAAUAAAAUAUAAAUUGAACAAAUAAUCAUAAAAGGAUGGUUAUUAAAUGAUUUUAAAUGUCUUAGGACAAAUAAAAAAAUAAUAAUUUGAAAAUUAUUUGAGGAUUCUAUACUUCCUUUUAAGGCUUAAAUUGAAAUUUAUAUAAUAACUAUGACCCUAUCUUUACAGAUAGAAUGAAUUUCUGAGUUUGCAAAUAAAAACUAUUUGCAAGAGAAAAAAAAAAAAAAUAAAAACUAUUUGCA